AUUGAACGCUGGCGGCAGGCCUAACACAUGCAAGUCGAGCGGCAGCGGGAAAGUAGCUUGCUACUUUUGCCGGCGAGCGGCGGACGGGUGAGUAAUGCCUGGGAAAUUGCCCAGUCGAGGGGGAUAACAGUUGGAAACGACUGCUAAUACCGCAUACGCCCUACGGGGGAAAGCAGGGGACCUUCGGGCCUUGCGCGAUUGGAUAUGCACAGGUGGGAUUAGCUAGUUGGUGAGGUAAUGGCUCACCAAGGCGACGAUCCCUAGCUGGUCUGAGAGGAUGAUGAGCCACACGGGAACUGAGACACGGUCCAGACUCCUACGGGAGGCAGCAGUGGGGAAUAUUGCACAAUGGGGGAAACCCUGAUGCAGCCAUGCCGCGUGUGUGAAGAAGGCCUUCGGGUUGUAAAGCACUUUCAGCGAGGAGGAAAGGUUGAUGCCUAAUACGUAUCAACUGUGACGUUACUCGCAGGAGAAGCACCGGCUAACUCCGUGCCAGCCGCCGCGGUAAUAC
rnacentral:rRNA from 1 species